AGAGUUUGAUCAUGGCUCAGAACGAACGCUGGCGGCGGGCCUCAUACAUGCAAGUCGAGCGCGAAAGUCCGCAAGGAUGAGUAAAGCGGCGCACGGGUGAGUAACACGUGGAUAAUCUACCCUUUGGAUUGGAAUAACCUGUCGAAAGACGGGCUAAUGCCGAGUAAGCUCUCGGGAGCGUGAAGCUCUUGCGAGGAAAGAUGGCGCAAGCUAUCGCCGAUGGAUGAGUCUGCGUCCCAUUAGUUAGUUGGUGAGGUAACAGCUUACCAAGACGAUGAUGGGUACCUGGUCUGAGAGGAUGAUCAGGCACACUGGAACUGAAACACGGUCCAGACUCCUACGGGAGGCAGCAGUAGGGAAUAUUGCGCAAUGGACGAAAGUCUGACGCAGCCACGCCGCGUGAGUGAGGAAGGCCUUCGGGUUGUAAAGCUCUGUCAUCCGGGAAAAACGGCUAUCUGGGGAAAGUUCAGGUAGUGUGAUGGUACCGGAGGAGGAAGCACCGGCAAACUCUGUGCCAGCAGCCGCGGUAAUACAGAGGGUGCAAGCGUUGUUCGGAAUUACUGGGCGUAAAGCGUGCGUAGUCGGUAUUGAGAGUCACGGGUGAAAUCCCAGGGCUUAACCCUGGAACUGCCUGUGAGACCUCAGUACUAGAGUGUGAGAGGGGAUAGUGGAAUACCCAGUGUAGCGGUGAAAUGCGUAGAGAUUGGGUGGAACACCGGUGGCGAAGGCGGCUAUCUGGCUCACAACUGACGAUCAGGCACGAAAGCGUGGGGAGCAAACAGGAUUAGAUACCCUGGUAGUCC
rnacentral:rRNA from 1 species